GAUUCAGUAGUGUAGGGGUAUCAUGGGCGCUUGCCAAAGGUUAUCUGCGCCCGACCCGGGUUCAAAUCCCGGCUGAAUCA